rnacentral:lncRNA from 1 species
AAUAUUCUCAUCAAUUUUUUAAUUGAUUUGAGAUUUAUUUGAGAUUUUAGUUCAAUUAGGUUAUUUUUAUUCAUUUUUAAUUGAUUAAAAAUAGUUUUUAGCUUUUAAAAAUGCUGAAAUUUUUUGUCAAACUUUGUUUGAUCUUUGUUCUUUUAUUCUUCAUAUCCAUAUUUCUUUUGUUAAAAAUAGUUUUUAGCUUUUAAAAAUGCUGAAAUUUUUAUUCAUUUAAUGCACUUUGUUCUUUUAUUCUUCAUAUCCAUAUU